AUUGAACGCUGGCGGCAUGCCUUACACAUGCAGGUCGAACGGCAGCACGGGUGCUUGCACCUGGUGGCGAGUGGCGAACGGGUGAGUAAUACAUCGGAACAUGUCCUGUAGUGGGGGAUAGCCCGGCGAAAGCCGGAUUAAUACCGCAUACGAUCUACGGAUGAAAGCGGGGGACCUUCGGGCCUCGCGCUAUAGGGUUGGCCGAUAGCUGAUUAGCUAGUUGGUGGGGUAAAGGCCUACCAAGGCGACGAUCAGUAGCUGGUCUGAGAGGACGACCAGCCACACUGGGACUGAGACACGGCCCAGACUCCUACGGGAGGCAGCAGUGGGGAAUUUUGGACAAUGGGCGAAAGCCUGAUCCAGCAAUGCCGCGUGUGUGAAGAAGGCCUUCGGGUUGUAAAGCACUUUUGUCCGGAAAGAAAUCCUUGGCUCUAAUACAGUCGGGGGAUGACGGUACCGGAUGAAUAAGCACCGGCUAACUACGUG
rnacentral:rRNA from 1 species